AGCGCUAAAAGGAAAACACGCUCUCCCCUUCGUAUUCACACUUCACAUUCACAAACCCUAAUAUACUGAAUUUACGGCGUUUUUUGCUUCAUAUUUAUGCGGUAUCUUUUUCUAAUAGAUUUUCUAUUUGUGUUUCCCUAAUCCCUGGAAACAAACCCUAGAACUCUUCCAGCCGCAUCACAAUCAAGAUAUGUUUAUUGCUUCAAAGACAAUCGUUCUUCAAAUAUUGAAGAUCUGUGGCAUAUUGUGGUGUUGCAAAGGACUAUUGAUCAAUCAAUCAACUGAUCAUAUAUCACCGAAAGUUCUCAGUGUUAUCAGCUUACAAUCGACUGUUUAUUACCAGCCGGAGUCCAAUCGGCGAUUUCUACUUUGGCGCUUUCAUAUGUCGAUUUCAUAUACAUCGAUUUCAUAUUGAAAGAAACAAGGUUUUUUUUUGCAGGAAAGCCACGUUUCUAGCUUUCUCUAGCGUGUUUAAUUUGGAGCUUUUCCUUUAUGCUGGCAACCCCCAAUGAAGCUAUUUGUCGAUUGCAAUUGCCAUUCUAUAACAUGUUUUUAUUUUUAUUUGUAAAGGGUGAUUAUUAGCUCAUAUUGCAGGUUGCAUUGUUGUUAAGGGGCCAGACUAUCGCUUGGAUUCUUGGUUAGCUUGCAGGUGACAUUUCGUGGGUAGAUCGCCACAUGGAGUUCUGGUCAGCUGCAACGGGUCAGAUUGCAUAUUGGUUGCAACUCGCAUCUUAUAUGUGAUGGAACGUUUCUUUUAUUUCAACUUUAUGUCUAGAAUAAUGAGUGAUUACAAAGUUGAGAUGAUCAAUGAUGGGAUGCAAAAGUCUUAUGUGCAUUUCCAUAGGUUUAAUUUAUGGAAUGUGCCGGGUUUUUGUUUGAAAAGAAGAAAGAAGAACUCUUUGAUAUGGUUUAGAGGUAUGUACUUCAUUACUUCUUUCAUUCAAGCUACAUGGGAAGAUUAAUAGUCAUUUUUCAUGUAAUUCGGCAGAGUUUAUCUGGCUCGUGAAUCAAAGGUAACACACACGUUUCAAAUUUCACAACUGUAACUUCAAUUUUCAUAAAUUAGGGUUUUUUAUCGAACGAAUUUGAUUCUAAUUGGUGUAUGUUGUGUGAGAUUAGAGCAAGUAUAUAGUUUCUUUGAAGGUGAUAUUCAAAGAGCAGAUUGAAAAGUACGGCUGCAACACCAGUUGAAGAGAGAAAUGGCGAUUCAAACGAGCCUUUGGCAUCUGCAUGUUUUGAGGCUGUACUUUAGCUAACCGUGUUGUGGGACUGGAACAAAUGGACUUACUUUAGCUAACCGUGUUGGAAUGCUAUUUGAGAUCAGCUCGGCUAAAAGCUCGAACGAGCCGAGCCAUAACGAGCUCAAGCCCGAGCUCGAGUCUGUAAUAGAGCCCAUUUAGUUAUCGAACACGAGUUUGGGCCGAAUGAUGGAUUCUUGGCGUAUGCCAGUAAUACUAAUGCAUGUGAUCAUCAAUUAUUUGAUUACGGAGCCUAUUGUAAAGAAGAUGGCAGAGUGGCUUUUAAAAGGGCCUUUAAAGCUUUCUGCCAAAUGAAGUUUGACAUAGUUGGUCUGAGGAAGUAAUGCAAUAAAAGGUGUUGCAACAUGAGAAGGCUACUUGAUCUUCAAAUAGGUUGAAUAAAAAAUUGCAUGAUCAUAAGUGGUUGUGUUUUGUGUGGAACAUAUUACUAAUGCCAUUAGAAGACAUUGAUGCCAACUCGAUGAAGGAGAUGGUCAUGUGACAGGCCUAUGCGAUACUAAAUGACGUUGAAUCUGUUGUGCGGACAAUAGAUAUUGUGAGGAUAUCAUUACAAAAUGCACUCGAUUUGGAUCUUGCUUUGAGUAAGAAGCCUUUUGGGCCAGGUGUUGUUGAAAAAACUGUCAAUAAUUCCCUUUAGAGUUAAACGAGCUUAUUUACUAGAGAAUUGACAAUAUCACAACUUUAUUUUUCAAGGUCUUCUUUGAGUUAUACUGAGUUACUGUACUUAUUGUACUAAUAUCCUAACGAAUCGGAUCUUUUUUAUCUA